rnacentral:rRNA from 1 species
GACGAACGCUGGCGGCGUGCUUAACACAUGCAAGUCGAACGAAGUGGCGAACGGGUGAGUAACGCGUAAUCAACCUGCCCUUCAGAGGGGGACAACCGUUGGAAACGACUGCUAAUACCGCAUAAUGAAGGAGGGGAUUGCGUCGGAUUAGCUAGUUGGAGGGGUAACGGCCCACCAAGGCGAUGAUCAGUAGCCGGGUUGGGAGGAUGAACGGCCACAUUGGGACUGAGACACGGCCCAGACUCCUACGGGAGGCAGCAGUGGGGAAGCUUUCGCAAUGGACGAAAGUCUGACGGAGCAACGCCGCGGGAGUGAUGACGGCCUUCGGGUUGUAAAGCGCUGUUAAGCGGGACGCGGUACCGGAAUAGAAAGCCACGGCUAACUACGUGCCAGCCGCCGCGGUAAUUC